ensembl:lncRNA
CUUACCAUAGCUCUUCUCCUGUUCUGCACACACACUGGCAGCUUGGGAGAGUGUCAGAGUAUCCCUGUGCCUAGAAGCUCUGUCCCCCAGAAAUCCAACUGGCACCAUCCCCACCCCCCUUCAGAUCCUGUCACCUCAGUAAGGCUAACUAGCAGAAAGUUCACUGAGGUUGGGCAGGAUAUGCUUUUGAUGGUCCCUGUCCCUGAUUUUGUCACUUCACUGAGGUGUGGACUGGCUCUCAGGGCCCCUCAAGCACCUGAGUUCUGAAAUUCUGACCUCUGAGAGGCAGAGUCUGUAGCUAUCAGAGACCCCUGUGAGCCUUACUGGCAGGGCUGGGGCCAGCUACCUACCCACUCUGUGCUCGGUGACAAGGGUCGCCACAGCCCAAGCAGAGUGGGUACUAGAGGGACUGCCGUAUCAUCUGAUCCAUAGCCGCUUAAUCUCUUGACCAUGUGCGCUGGGGACAUGUCCACGAAGGACGUCACUGAGGUGAGGGAAGAAUGCAGCCGUUGUCCGGGCCCAGAACACAAAGGCGGGUCUGUGCACACGUGGGCACUCCCGGCCCCGGCUGGAUCAGCUGCUCUCGUUUCCUCCUUCGCCAUCACAAUACAACUACAGAGAUACAGCCUGCCCUUCAACCCCCGCCCCAGGAGAACCAGGCAAUGGGAUUUCUGCCCACUGGGUGCCCGCUGAGCAUAGCCAGCAACUCCAGCCUCCCAGCCCCCACUUGGCUCCCGGUCUUCCUAAGAAUUAUGUAACGGCCCCCAAAGCCAAGAUCAGGGCCAGCCGUGGGACACAUCUCUAAUGAGAAAUGCUGAGGAAGGCCUGACCUUGAAGAGAGCUAAGCUUGCCAGCCCAUGGAAUGUUCCCAGCCUCGGGCUUUAAACAAGAACGGUAUUCAGAGGUUGAACGCUCUGUUGAAAGCAAUCUGUCCCCUUGCUUUGUCUUGGGGACUUAUCAAGGUGAGCCCUGGCCCUCUGAGGCACUGGGUAUCGCGUUUGGAGCUGGGCACUGCUGUCAGUAAUCUUCCCAGCCAUCUCUAAUUAGCAGUCUCUGGGCCCCCCAGGGUCACACAGUCCAGGCAGAAGCAAGAUAAGCAAGAGUUCUAGUCUCCCCACUCCCAGAAUGGCACCCCAGAAAGGCAUCCUGGGAGAAGAGAAGCAGAAAGGUUUUCUGGGAGGAGAGCCAUGGGAGGCAACAAAGCCAGCACACAAAAGCUUAUCACGGGCUCCCUCCCUCCGUGCAGGCCCUCCACAGAGGGAAGUAUCUGAUUGCUGCAGGCCCAUUGUGGGCCUCUGCAGCUUUCUUCCCUAGAAACACCCCCCCCCUUGUCAGCCUCCACUUCUGCUCUCUCUUACUUGACUAAGGCCCCAGUACAGAGGUCUGGAACUUAAAGUUUAUUUUUCAAACAAUAGCUCAUGAACCGCUAGUAAGUAGCAUAUGUAUUUGGUUUAGUGGGUGAUAUUCAUCAUGUUUAAAAUACAGAGAGAAAUUAGAUUAGACUAGACUUGAACAGGAGUGUAACUGAGGGCACGAGAGAUAAAUGAACAUAAACGUGGUGGUGUCCGUUAGAGUCCCGUGAGUGCUGCAUCAUGAUCGAUCCUUUCAGUACUUAGGAUUGAACUCGGGGCCCCGCAUGCUAGGCAAGCUCUCUUCUGUGAAGGAAUGAAGCAUAUGAAAGUGUUUAUAGGUGAAAUGACAAAGUCGGAAAGAAGUCAUGAUAGAAAGACAGAAAUAGAUGAAGCAAGAUAGACAUGA